rnacentral:rRNA from 1 species
UACGGGGGGAGCAAGCGUUAUUCGGAAUUAUUGGGCGUAAAGGGCGCGUAGGCGGCUUUGCAAGUGACGGGUGAAAUCCCUCGGCUUAACCGAGGAACUGCCUGUCAAACUGCAUGGCUUGAGACCAGGAGAGGUGAGUGGAAUUCCCAGUGUAGCGGUGAAAUGCGUAGAUAUUGGGAGGAACACCAGUGGCGAAGGCGGCUCACUGGUCCGGUACUGACGCUGAGGUGCGAAAGCGUGGGGAGCAAACAGG